AUAUUCGUUUGGUCGUGGAAUAUUCGUACUGUCGGAGAAUAUUCGUACGACGGCGCAGCCAUGUGUGGGCCCCAUAACGGAAAGCGAUUGGAGGAAGAAAAUGACAAAUAUAAGUUGUUUAAAAAUAACGGCGUAGUUGUUACCGUGUACAUUGUUGGAAUACCCGGUGGUUAAAACACAGUAAUACGCGUUGUUGCACAGUAGCACACGGUAUUGCACCAAUUAUUGACUGUUACGUAAAAAGGCACUACUCAAUAAUGAUUACAGUAAUUACUGUUCAGUAUUUUAUUGAUUUAAUAAUUGUUGCGUUGAUAUUUUAUAUUGCUGUUGUUUC
rnacentral:lncRNA from 1 species